rnacentral:rRNA from 1 species
AUUGAACGCUGGCGGCAGGCCUAACACAUGCAAGUCGAACGAGUGGCGGACGGGUGAGUAAUGUCUGGGAAACUGCCUGAUGGAGGGGGAUAACUACUGGAAACGGUAGCUAAUACCGCAUACUAUCGGAUGUGCCCAGAUGGGAUUAGCUCGUAGGUGGGGUAACGGCUCACCUAGGCGACGAUCCCUAGCUGGUCUGAGAGGAUGACCAGCCACACUGGAACUGAGACACGGUCCAGACUCCUACGGGAGGCAGCAGUGGGGAAUAUUGGACAAUGGGCGAAAGCCUGAUCCAGCCAUGCCGCGUGUGUGAAGAAGGCCUUCGGAUUGUAAAGUACUUUCAGUUGGGAGGCGUUACCAGCAGAAGAAGCACCGGCUAACUUCGUGCCAGCCGCCGCGGUAAUUC